GGGAUCGUGUCAACUAGCUAAAGAGACUCUUCAGAUUUAUAUACCCUGGAAAACGGUUAAUAAGUUGAUGCCAAAUAAUACGAGGACACCUUAAAUUUCAUGUAAAAGCAGAAUCAUUUUGGCAUAAAAGUUAGGUUGUGGGUGGUUUUUUUUUUGGUAUCAACCGCAAGUGGUUCUUAACUCAUGUACAUGUUCCACGAACUUUUUGAAGCUCAUCCCUCUUCCCUGGCCAGCCUGAGGAGAAGAAACUUAAAAUACUGUAAUAACAUAAUGAAAAGAACCAGGUGUAGAUUGAGGCUGCUCUUACGUUUUUGGAAAAUAAUAUAGGACACUAGGUCCUAUAUUACCUGAGUUAGAAAAUUGCAGGCUCACCAGUUUUUAAGACUGGGAAAUUUAUGAAGAUGAAAAGUUCAUUCAGCUUUGGUUCUAAGGUGAAGGGGCAGCAUCUGAUGGUGGGGGCUCUCUGCAAGUUGAUCAGGCUGUGCUGGGCAAGAACAUCUAUCAACUCUGGUCUCUCCUCUUGUAAAGCCACCACUGUUCAUGCCCCCCACACCAUGACCUUGUCUAAUCUUAAUUACCUUCCAUAGGUCUCACCUCUUCAUGUCAUUACGAGAUUAAAUUGCCUUAAUACCUUGGUGAUGCCAAGCAGUUUUCAAUACAUGAAUUUAGGGGAGGUGUAUUCAAACCAUAGCUUGCUUUUAUUAAGAAACAUUUAGUUGAGACCUCCCUUCACAUUUGUUGUGGCACUGGUAAAUUCUACCUGGGUUCUGGCAUGCUUCACUCUGAUUUCCUGCUAUCCUCUACUGCUUGCUUCUAAAUCAAGAUAAAGAGCAGGAAUACAUUGAUACCCGAUUGGUCUUGAUUAGUUGGUGUAAUUGAAAAACAGGUGUUAAUCCUUGAUAAUUAGUUUUAGAGACAGUAUUGUUUAAUACAAAACUUAACAGUAAUGACAUUUUGUUGGGGAUGGAAGUUGGCUAAACUGAAAAGUGAGACAGCAUGAUACAUAAAAAUGUUUUGUACAACAUUAAGAGAUUCAUGCAAAAUUUAGCAACUUUUUCUGCAUAGCAGCUAUAUUUUACAUUCAAUAUCAAAAUAAUACGGUGUUUGAUAUAACUAUAUCAAGUUUAAGAUUUCUUUAACCUUGAUAUUAUUUUUUAAUUACAGAUGGUUGUGAUCUACAUUUUAAAAUAUCAAGACGUCUCCUCAAGAGCUUCUUCCCUUACUGUGGAGAAUUUUGCCUUUUUUGGGGGGCAGGAUAAGAGCAUCUCAUGAUGUGUCAGAAGGCAAAAUGUUUUGAGAUGAAGGGAUUUGACUUCAGGUCACAGAGAAGAUCUGACAUUUUGUAUGAAAGAUAAUCGACAUAUGUGCAGUUGGAAUGGCUAGUCAAGAGCAACGAUGAACUUUGAAAACGAAUUGUAGAACUCCUCUAAGAAUGGAUAAGAUCUUGACAUUACCUUCAAAAUCAGUAAGGAAGCUCUUGAUGGAUGGCACUCUUCACAUGCAUUCUCUGCUACACCUGUAUAGCUGAAUUUAAGUUUGUUCAGAAGGAAAAGCCAUGCAUCUUUGUACUAUUUAAAUACUAUGCUUAUGUAUAACCCAAAAUGUCUUUUUAUUUAUUUACUUAUUUAGGAUAGGUUUCUGCUAUUAAGAGCAUGCACUUAUCAGAAAGUGUGAAGUCACCCCUGAGUAGGGAUGGCUAUACUGCAGUCCCUUCGUCUCCAUUCUCCUCU